GAUGAAGAACGUAGCGAAAUGCGAUAGUAAUGUGAAUUGCAGAAUUCAGUGAAUCAUCGAAUCUUUGAACGCAUCUUGCGCUCCUUGGUAUUCCUUGGAGCAUGCCUGUUUGAGUAUCAUGAGCAAAUCUCAAAGUCAAUUCCUUUUGUUGAUUCAAUUGGUUUUGCUUUGGACUUGGAGGCCUUGCAGAUUUCACAGUCUGCUCCUCUUAAAUGCAUUAGCUGGAUCUCAGUAAUUAUGCUUGGUUCCACUCGGCGUGAUAAGUAUCACUCGCUGAGGACACUGUUAAAAAGGUGGCCAGGAAAAUACUGAUUGAACCGCUUCUAACGGUCUAUUAAGUUAGACAAUUACCCUUAAGUUUGAUCUCAAAUCAGGUAGGACUACCCGCUGAACUUAAGCAUAUCAAUAAGCGGAGGA
rnacentral:misc_RNA from 1 species